AUCGCUUCUCAGCCUUUUGGCUAAGAUCAAGUGUAGUAUCUGUUCUUAUCAGUUUAAUAUCUGAUAACAUCCUCUAUCCGAGGACAGUAUAUUAAAUGGAUUUUUGGAGCAGGGAGAUGGAACAGGAGUUUGCUCCAUCCACUCCAAGCAUCAAUCCAGUAUUGCAGUACCUCCGGGAAUGGUGCACCAAAA